CGCAAGCCUGAGGGAGCAACGCCGCGUGCAGGACGACGGCCUUCGGGUUGUAAACUGCUUUUGGGUGGGAAGAUGAUGACGGUACCACCCGAAUAAGCCCCGGCUAACUCCGUGCCAGCAGCCGCGGUAAGACGGAGGGGGCAAGCGUUAUCCGGAAUUAUUGGGCGUAAAGCGUCCGCAGGCGGCCAAUUAAGUCUGCUGUCAAAGCCUAGGGCUCAACCCUAGAUCGGCAGUGGAAACUGGUUGGCUAGAGUACGGUAGGGGUAGAGGGAAUUCCCAGUGGAGCGGUGAAAUGCGUAGAGAUUGGAAAGAACACCGAUGGCGAAGGCACUUUACUGGGCUAUUACUGACACUGAGAGACGAAAGCUAGGGUAGCG
rnacentral:rRNA from 1 species